rnacentral:rRNA from 1 species
AGUGAGCGCUGGCGGUAGGCCUAACACAUGCAAGACGAACGGCAGCACAGAGGAGCUUGCUCCUUGGGUGGCGAGUGGCGGACGGGUGAGGAAUACAUCGGAAUCUACUCUGUCGUGGGGGAUAACGUAGGGAAACUUACGCUAAUACCGCAUACGACCUACGGGUGAAAGCAGGGGACCUUCGGGCCUUGCGCGAUUGAAUGAGCCGAUGUCGGAUUAGCUAGUUGGCGGGGUAAAGGCCCACCAAGGCGACGAUCCGUAGCUGGUCUGAGAGGAUGAUCAGCCACACUGGAACUGAGACACGGUCCAGACUCCUACGGGAGGCAGCAGUGGGGAAUAUUGGACAAUGGGCGCAGGCCUGAUCCAGCCAUACCGCGUGGGUGAAGAAGGCCUUCGGGUUGUAAAGCCCUUUUGUUGGGAAAGAAAUCCAGCUGGCUAAUACCCGGUUGGGAUGACGGUACCCAAGGAAUAAGCACCGGCUAACUUCGUGCCAGCCGCCGCAGUAA